rnacentral:rRNA from 1 species
GAUGAAACACCUUCGGGUGUGAAUUAGCGGCGAACGGGUGAGGAACACGUGAAGAAUCUGCCUUCAACUCUGGGAUAACUCCGGGAAACCGGGGCUAAUACCGGAUAUGAGCCUUGAUCGCAUGAUCGGGGCUGGAAAGUUUUUCGGUUGAAGAUGACUUCGCGGCCUAUCAGCUUGUUGGUGAGGUAAUGGCUCACCAAGGCGACGACGGGUAGCCGGCCUGAGAGGGCGACCGGCCACACUGGGACUGAGACACGGCCCAGACUCCUACGGGAGGCAGCAGUGGGGAAUAUUGGGCAAUGGAGGAAACUCUGACCCAGCGACGCCGCGUGAGGGAUGAAGGCCUUCGGGUUGUAAACCUCUUUCAGUAGGGAAGAAGCGAAAGUGACGGUACCUACAGAAGAAGCACCGGCUAACUAUGUGCCAGCAGCCGCGGUAAUACAUAGGGUGCAAGCGUUGUCCGGAAUUAUUGGGCGUAAAGAGCUCGUAGGUGGUUCGAUACGUCGGAUGUGAAAAUCAGGGGCUCAACCCCUGACCUGCAUCCGAUACGGUCGAGCUAGAGUUUGGUAGGGGAGACUGGAAUUCCUGGUGUAGCGGUGGAAUGCGCAGAUAUCAGGAGGAACACCGAUGGCGAAGGCAGGUCUCUGGGCCAAUACUGACACUGAGGAGCGAAAGCGUGGGGAGCGAACAGGAUUAGAUACCCUGGUAGUCCACGCCGUAAACGGUGGGCGCUAGUUGUGCGAACCUUCCACGGUUUGUGCGACGCAGCUAACGCAUUAAGCGCCCCGCCUGGGGAGUACGAUCGCAAGAUUAAAACUCAAAGGAAUUGACGGGGCCCCGCACAAGCAGCGGAGUAUGCGGCCUAAUUCGACGCAUCGCGAAGAACCUUACCAAGGCUUGACAUAUACAGGAAUAUGGC